UACGGAGGGGCUAGCGUUGUUCGGAAUUACUGGGCGUAAAGCGCACGUAGGCGGCUUUGUAAGUUAGAGGUGAAAGCCCGGGGCUCAACUCCGGAAUUGCCUUUAAGACUGCAUCGCUAGAAUUGUGGAGAGGUAAGUGGAAUUCCGAGUGUAGAGGUGAAAUUCGUAGAUAUUCGGAAGAACACCAGUGGCGAAGGCGACACGCUGGGUCACACCGUGACGCUAAAGCGCGGAACAGCAUGGGGAGCGAACGGGU
rnacentral:rRNA from 1 species